UCUUCUUAUGAAGAGUGUAUUCUCAGCGUUGGGGAGCUAUAAUAUUAUGCAUGAGGGCAGGAUUUCUGUUCCCCCUCUGUCCCCUUUCAGCCUGCUGAGAACACUAGUAACUGCAUCUAGCUGGGUUCUGGCUGCAUGACAUGGAGCAGGGGAGGAGAGGUGAUGUCUCAAGUGCACUAAUGUCUUUUUUCAGAAUAUUCCUGUAGGCGGAAGGAGUAGGAAGUGUUGUCAAGGCCUGAGAAACAGGACCCAGCUGCUUCUCAGAGUUCUGUAAGGAGCGGGGAGGUUGCCUUGUGGGCUGCUGUCUUUCCUCUUUCAGCAUUAAAAAAUUCAGAACGUUUUCCUUUCAAGGAAGAGUCAACUUUAAGCAGCAUGCUUUAGAACAAGACGUGUAGCUUUACAAGGAGCAACGGGAAAGGUCCAGGUUCCAGGCCCCUCCCCAGAGCUGCAUGCUGGCAGCUACCCCCCAUUCCCACCCCCCAGCCUUUACCAGCUAAGUUUCACUAACCUGGAAGCCGGCAUAGGAGCCAGUGAGCCGUGGAGAGAGGGGCUUGGACUCACAGGACGGCACCUGCUUUCUAACCAGCUGUGGAAGGAAAAUACUAUUGUUCAUCUUGAAGUGGUAGGUGAUGAGGCUGGGCUGGGCUCUGUUAAAGAAGUGACCAUGUCUUUUUUUUUUUUUUUCCAUUAUGGUUUAUCACAGGAUAUUGAAUAUAAUUCCCUGUGCUCUGCAGUAGGACAUUGUUGUUUAUCCAUUCAGUAUAUACUAGUUUGCAUCUGCUAAUCCCAAACUCCCAAUCUAUCCUUCCUCUUUCCCCUCUCCAUCUUGGCAACCACAGAUCUGUUCUCUAUGUCUGUGAGUCUGUUUCUGUUUCAUAGAUAAGUUCAUUUGUGUCCUAAUUUAGAUUCCACAUAUAAGUGAUAGCAUACGGUAUUUGUCUUUCUCUUUCUGACUUACUUCACUUAGUAUGAUCAUCUCUAGGUUCAUCCAUGUUGCUGCAAAUGGCAUUGGUUCAUUCUUUUUUAUGGCUGAGUAAUAUUCCAUUGUGUAUAUGUACCACAUCUUCUUUAUUUGUUCAUCUGUCGAUGGACAUUUAGGUUGUUCCCAUGUCUUGGCUAUUGUAAAUAGUGCAGCUCUGAGCAUAGUGGCACAUGUAUCUUUUUGAAUUAUAGUUUUAUCUGGAUAUAUGCCCAGAGGUGGCAUUGCUAGAUCAUAUGGCAACUCUAUUUUUAGUUUUUUAAGGAACCUCUAUACUGUUUUCCAUAGUGGCUGCACCAACUUAUAUUACCACCAACAGUGUAGGAGGGUUCUCUUUUCUCCACACGCCCUCCAGCAUUUGUUAUUUGUAGACUUUUUAAUGAUGGCCCUUCUGACCGGGGUCAGGUGGUACCUCAUUGUAGUUUUGAUUUGCAUCUCUCCGGUAAUUAGCGAUGUUGAGCGUCUUUUCAUGUGCCUGCUGGCCAUCUGUAUGUCUUCCUUGGAGAAAUGGAAAUGACCAUGUCUUCCUCCAGAAAUGGCUCCAGAUUAGAUGGGCAUGGCUCUGUCCCCCAUGCAGACUAUAAAGCACGUUGAAUGAGGCUUAGAACAGUGCACAUAGGAAGCCCUGGAUAAAAAUGUAGCACAACGGAAUACUAUUCAACAAUAUAAAUAAAGAACUACUGAUAUAUGCGUACAUGGAUAAACCUCCAAAACGUUAUGCUAAGAGGAAAAAAAGCCAGACACAAAAAACCAUGUGUUAUAUGAUACCAUUUAUAUAAAAUUUCCAAAAGAGGAAAAAAAAAAUACAGAGAUGGGAAGUAGAUCAGUGAUUCCCUCAGGCUGGAGGCAAUUGAAGAUUGAUCACAAAUGCUAUGGCAGAACUUGUUCAAGUGAUGGGAAAGUUCUAGAACUCGACAGCAGUGAUGUCGUACAACUCUGCACACUUAUUAAAAAUAACUGUAUUGUGCACUUAUAAUGAAUGUCUUUUUAUGGAAUGUAAACUAUACUUCAGUGAAGCUAUUACAAAUGACACCUAAAAACAAAUAAAAUUCUCAAAGAAAUAAAGGGAAGGUGUCACAUCCCUAAAGCUGGUGCUUAUGAAAUAAGAACAUGUAGCUUUGAAAAACGACUACUUGGACAUCUUGAAAACAGAAAAUACAAUUUUGCAAAAGCAACAGAUUCUUCAUUGGCAACGCUGGAAGUCAGGACAUGAGGGAGGAAUAUCUUUAAGGUGCCGUGGGAAAAAGUGUAAACUGUACUUCUAUAUCUAGCCAAAUAAUCAUUUUAAAGUGGGAGCAAAAUAAAGGCAUUUUAAGUUAUAUGAAGUGUUUAAGAAGUUACCACCCAUAGAUUCCACUGAAAAACUACAAGAGGUUGUGUUCCUGUUAGAAGAUGCUAGAAUGCAGUGGCAAGAAGGGUCAUACAAGGGGUAACAAUGAGAAAAAGUAAGUAAAAUGUAUCCUUGCUUCAAAAACAGCCAUUUAUUAGAAAUAUGGACCUAAAUUUGCAGAUAAUAUUGAGGCAGAAGACAGAUGAGCCCCCAGGGCAAACGGUUUGAGUUCGUUCCUUGUGCCCCAAUACUCCGAGAGGAGAAUAACAGGACAAUUGAGAGAGGAGGCUGGGCUCUGCCCAGAUAAGAGACCACAUAUUCCUCAUUCUUGAAGUCAGGAGACCUCCAUGACUACACAUGCGCAGAAAGGCUCCUUGGAGGUCAAAAGGAGAGUGAUGCUAAGUGGCCAAGUCUACCAUAGGCCUCUUCGGUAGAAUCCACCUUGGCUAAGAGAUGCGCGUGCACACAUGGGAAAAUCCUGAGAUACACCAAAUAUGGACUCUGGAUCAGACAAAUCAAAAUGAUUGGUCAAAGGAAACAUGGAAGAAAUGCCCCAUAUAAGUGAUUUAAACUGCCACGAGGGUGCGACCGUCUCUCUGAGCCUGCCCGUGUGUCUAUCCACACGUACUGUACCCUUUUUUUCCUCCUAAUAAAUACUUUACUUGUUUCACUA